CCUACGGGAGGCAGCAGUGAGGAAUAUUGGUCAAUGGCCGGGAGGCUGAACCAGCCAAGUCGCGUGAGGGAAGACGGCCCUACGGGUUGUAAACCUCUUUUGUCAGGGAGUAAGGUGCAGGUCGGGACCUGCUGUGUGAGUACCUGAUGAAAAAGCAUCGGCUAACUCCGUGCCAGCAGCCGCGGUAAUACGGAGGAUGCAAGCGUUAUCCGGAUUUAUUGGGUUUAAAGGGUGCGCAGGGGGAGGCUAAAGUCAGCGGUAAAAUCGGGGGGCUCAACCCCGCUCCGCCGUUGAAACUGGUACCCUUGAGUGCGGGAAGGGUGGGCGGAAUGCGUGGUGUAGCGGUGAAAUGCAUAGAUAUCACGCAGAACUCCGAUCGCGAAGGAAGCCUACCGGCGCGCAACUGACGCUCAUGCACGAAAGCGUGGGUAUCGAACAGGAUUAGAUACCCUAGUAGUC
rnacentral:rRNA from 1 species